rnacentral:rRNA from 1 species
UACGUAGGGUGCGAGCGUUGUCCGGAAUUAUUGGGCGUAAAGAGCUCGUAGGCGGUGUGUCGCGUCGGCCGUGAAAACCUGGGGCUUAACUCUGGGCGUGCGGUCGAUACGGGCAUCACUAGAGUUCGGCAGGGGAGACUGGAAUUCCUGGUGUAGCGGUGAAAUGCGCAGAUAUCAGGAGGAACACCGGUGGCGAAGGCGGGUCUCUGGGCAGUAACUGACGCUGAGGAGCGAAAGCGUGGGGAGCGAACAGG